GGUCAAGCGAAUAAGCGCACACGGUGGAUGCCUAGGCGGUCAGAGGCGAUGAAGGACGUGGUAGCCUGCGAAAAGUGUCGGGGAGCUGGCAACAAGCUUUGAUCCGGCAAUAUCCGAAUGGGGAAACCCACUGCUUCGGCAGUAUCCUGCAGUGAAUUCAUAGCUGCUGGAAGCGAACCCGGUGAACUGAAAUAUCUAAGUAACCGGAGGAAAAGAAAUCAACCGAGAUUCCCUAAGUAGUGACGAGCGAACGGGGAACAGCCCUUAAGCUGGAAUGGCUUUAGAAAAACAAUCUGGAAAGAUUGGCCAUAGAAGGUGAUAGCCCUGUAUUUAAAAGGGCCACUCCAGUGAAGACGAGUAGGGCGGGGCACGUGAAACCCUGUCUGAAUAUGGGGGGACCAUCCUCCAAGGCUAAAUACUCCUGACCGACCGAUAGUGAACCAGUACCGUGAGGGAAAGGCGAAAAGAACCCCGGAGAGGGGAGUGAAAUAGAUCCUGAAACCGUGUGCGUACAAGCAGUAGGAGCUCGCAAGAGUGACUGCGUACCUUUUGUAUAAUGGGUCAGCGACUUACUGUUCGUGGCAAGCUUAACCGUAUAGGGGAGGCGAAGGGAAACCGAGUCUGAUAAGGGCGCAUAGUCGCGGGCAGUAGACCCGAAACCGGGUGAUCUAGUCAUGGCCAGGGUGAAGGUGCCGUAACAGGUACUGGAGGCCCGAACCCACGUCUGUUGCAAAAGACGGGGAUGAGCUGUGAUUAGGAGUGAAAAGCUAAUCGAACCCGGAGAUAGCUGGUUCUCCUCGAAAGCUAUUUAGGUAGCGCCUCGGACGAAUACUACUGGGGGUAGAGCACUGUUAUGGCUAGGGGGUCAUCGCGACUUACCAAACCAUUGCAAACUCCGAAUACCAGUACGUACUAUCCGGGAGACACACGGCGGGUGCUAACGUCCGUCGUGAAAAGGGAAACAACCCAGACCCACAGCUAAGGUCCCAAAUUCACUGCUAAGUGGAAAACGAUGUGGAAAGGCAUAGACAGCCAGGAGGUUGGCUUAGAAGCAGCCACCCUUUAAAGAAAGCGUAAUAGCUCACUGGUCGAGUCGGUCUGCGCGGAAGAUUUAACGGGGCUAAGCAGUGAACCGAAGCUUGGGGUGCAUAAAACUUGUUUUAUGCGCGGUAGAGGAGCGUUCCGUAAGCCUGCGAAGGUGGAUUGAGAAGUCUGCUGGAGGUAUCGGAAGUGCGAAUGCUGACAUGAGUAACGAUAAUGCGGGUGAAAAGCCCGCACGCCGAAAGCCCAAGGUUUCCUUGCGCAACGUUAAUCGACGCAGGGUUAGUCGGUCCCUAAGGCGAGGGCGAAAGCCGUAGUCGAUGGGAAGCAGGUUAAUAUUCCUGCACCUCGCGUGAGUGCGAUGGAGGGACGGAGAAGGUUAGGUGUACCGGGCGUUGGUUGUCCCGGGGAAAGGCGGUAGGUUUGGAUCUUUGGCAAAUCCGGGAUCCUUUAAGACCGAGCACCGAGACGAGCCUUUAUGGCGAAGUCACUGAUACCACGCUUCCAGGAAAAGCUCCUAAGCUUCAGCUCACGAAGACCGUACCGUAAACCGACACAGGUGGGUAGGAUGAGAAUUCUCAGGCGCUUGAGAGAACUCGGGUGAAGGAACUAGGCAACAUGGCACCGUAACUUCGGGAGAAGGUGCACCCUUUUUGGUGGCUCGUGCGAGCUAUAGCUGAAGAGGGUCGCAGAAACCAGGCCGCUGCGACUGUUUAUCAAAAACACAGCACUCUGCAAACACGAAAGUGGACGUAUAGGGUGUGACGCCUGCCCGGUGCUGGAAGGUUAAUUGAUGGGGUCAGCCGCAAGGCGAAGCUCUUGAUCGAAGCCCCAGUAAACGGCGGCCGUAACUAUAACGGUCCUAAGGUAGCGAAAUUCCUUGUCGGGUAAGUUCCGACCUGCACGAAUGGCGUAACGACAGCGGCGCUGUCUCCACCCGAGACUCAGUGAAAUUGAAAUCGCUGUGAAGAUGCAGCGUUCCCGUGGCAAGACGGAAAGACCCCGUGAACCUUUACUAUAGCUUUACACUGAACGUUGAGUUCGUCUGUGUAGGAUAGGUGGGAGGCUAUGAAACUGUGGCGCUAGCUGCAGUGGAGCCAUCCUUGAAAUACCACCCUGUCGUGCUUGACGUUCUAACCUAGAUCCGUUAUCCGGAUCAGGGACCGUGUAUGGUGGGUAGUUUGACUGGGGCGGUCUCCUCCUAAAGAGUAACGGAGGAGCACGAAGGUACGCUCAGCGCGGUCGGACAUCGCGCACUGUGUGCAAAGGCAUAAGCGUGCUUGACUGCAAGAUCGACGGAUCAAGCAGGUACGAAAGUAGGUCUUAGUGAUCCGGUGGUUCUGUAUGGAAGGGCCAUCGCUCAACGGAUAAAAGGUACUCCGGGGAUAACAGGCUGAUACCGCCCAAGAGUUCAUAUCGACGGCGGUGUUUGGCACCUCGAUGUCGGCUCAUCACAUCCUGGGGCUGUAGUCGGUCCCAAGGGUAUGGCUGUUCGCCAUUUAAAGUGGUACGCGAGCUGGGUUCAGAACGUCGUGAGACAGUUCGGUCCCUAUCUGCCAUGGGCGUUGGAAGUUUGAGAGGGGCUGCUCCUAGUACGAGAGGACCGGAGUGGACGAACCUCUGGUGUUCCGGUUGUCACGCCAGUGGCAUUGCCGGGUAGCUAUGUUCGGAAGCGAUAACCGCUGAAAGCAUCUAAGCGGGAAGCGCGCCUCAAGAUGAGACUUCCCGGGGCACAAGCCCCCUAAAGGAACCAUAUAGACUAUGUGGUUGAUAGGUCAGGUGUGUAAGUACAGCAAUGUAUUGAGCUAACUGAUACUAAUGAUCCGUGCGGCUUGACCAU
rnacentral:rRNA from 2 species